rnacentral:rRNA from 1 species
UAGUAACGGCGAGUGAAGAGGGAAGAGCCCAAGAUUGAAAGCUGGCGUCUUCGGCGUCCGCAUUGUAAUCUCAAGAAGUGUUUUCCGCUUCGGACCAUGCCUAAGUCCCUUGGAAAAGGGCAUCAUAGAGGGUGAUAAUCCCGUACAUGGCAUGGAGCGCCCGAGGCUUUGUGAUACGCUUUCUAAGAGUCGAGUUGUUUGGGAAUGCAGCUCAAAAUGGGUGGUAAAUGCCAUCUAAGGCUAAAUAUUGGGGAGAGACCGAUAGCGAACAAGUACAGUGAUGGAAAGAUGAAAAGAACUUUGAAAAGAGAGUUAAACAGUACGUGAAAUUGCCAAAAGGGAAGGGUAGGAGGUCAGAGAUGCGUCUUGGGAUUCAGCCUUGCUUUUGCUUGGUGUUUUUCCCAAGUUGCAGGCCAACGUCGGUUUUGGGCACUGGAGAAGGGUGGAAGGAACGUGGCACCUCUCGGGGUGUGUUAUAGCCUUCCACUGGAUACAGCGACCGAGACCGAGGACAGCAGCGUACUCGCAAGAGCGGGCCUUCGGGCACCUUUACGCUUAGGGCGUUGGCAUAAUGGCCCUCUACCACCCGUCUUGAAACACGGACCAAGGAGUCU